GUGCCAGCAGCCGCGGUAAUACGGAGGGUGCAAGCGUUGUUCGGAAUCACUGGGCGUAAAGGGCGUGUAGGUGGCUAAUUAAGUCAGGUGUGAAAUCCUUCCGCUUAACGGGAGAAGUGCACUUGAAACUGCUUAGCUAGAGUACGGGAGAGGAAGGUGGAAUUCCUGGUGUAGAGGUGAAAUUCAUAGAUAUCGGGAAGAACACCGGUGGCGAAGGCGGCCUUCUGGCCCGAUACUGACGCUGAGACGCGAAAGCGUGGGGAGCAAACAGGAUUAGAAACCCGGGUAGUCC
rnacentral:rRNA from 1 species